UCCCAGACAGACCCAACGGUGGCCUAUGAGGCAAUUGAGGCCCAGAGAGGUCAAGCCAUGAGCCUGAGGUCACACAGCAAAGGGGUAGCAGCAGCUGAGCUUGAAACCAGGCAUUUGGGAACCAGAGCCUGUACUGCUGUCGGGGAAACACAAGCUAACCAAGCAUGAGUGUGAGGACUCCAUGGGGCAGCCUGGCCCAGGGGAGACAGAGAGAUGGGAAGUGCCCCAGGGAUGGGAGCCCCUCCUAAGGAGCUGCUUUUUGAAAAAAUAUUCCAGCAAGAAGAAUUGGGUGUAGAGCGGUGGUUAGGAACCUGGCUAGACGCAAGACUUACCUGGUGCCUUGAAAACUGCCCCCUGGCACUGAUUCCCCAGGUCUGGGCUGGGGCCCAGGAGUCUGCAUUUCUGAGACGCCCCAGGCCCUUCCACUGGGAAGCUGUGUCCAUGCACCUGUCUCUGUGACCCUGGGCGCUUAGCUUUGCCCCCAGGCCUCAGUUUCCACACCUGAGAAGUGGGACUACUAUUGCUUUGCCCGGGAAUGGCUAUAAUUUAAAGGUUCAGAUCUCAGCUACCCUGCCUGGUGCAAACCCCGCUUAAACACUUCCAUAUUGCCCGGGAGGAAUGUCGCGGGAAGCCGCCCCCACCGCUCCCUCCCUUCCCAGGGCGGAGAAUGCGAGGGCAGGUGUGUUCCCAGUAUGGAGGCUGCCCACGCGUGACGGCGAGACCGCCAGCCCGGCGACAGCCAGAGACCAAGGCAGGGAACCUGCAGGCCACACCUGGGGGUGAGGACCAUGGGACACCCCCAACUACCCCCCUCCGACAGAAAAGUUGUCCCUUCCACAGCGUAGGCCCGCUCUCACUAAUUCCUGCGCCAAAUGGUGUAAUUACCACUUAAGUUGUCAAAUGGCAUCCAGAUGGUCUUACCUUUCACACCAGCGGUUUAAUAAGCUUUUAGGCCUGACCUCUGCAGCGCGUCCUCCACCUGCGCAGCCCCGACUUGCGAAACCCGAGCCCACAAUUAGAUCUGAUAAUGAGAGCGGAGAGCGCCCGGCCUUGAACUCUGCAAGCUGCUUCAAGGGGUGCCCAGCAAGUCACCCCACGCCACUGACAAAUGGCAUGUGUCCCUCCACAAAUGGGUCCCCCCCCAUGCACAGGCACCCUGGGGGCCCGCCGGGGAGAUCACAGGCCCAGAAGCCCUGAGGCCCGAGAUCGCCCUGGGGGGCCAGGCCUCGUGCUGGGAGCUUGGGCAGGCUGUAGCUGGAGCCGAAUUCCAGCAAACUGGAGGCUCAGACCUGAGAGUGACCCCAAGGGGCAGCCCCCCUGGGAGGAGCCAUUUCUAGUGCCGACACCUCCACCAGCACCAACAACAGGUGGGCACCCCCACAUGCGGCUCACCCCACUGCCGAAAAGCCGCCUGUGACUGUCUGUCGAUUUGUAUUUCCUUGAGCCAAAGUUGCUUCUCGGUGAAGCUCUUGCUACGGGGAGCGUGAUCUCGCAUUGCAGACAACAGCGUCCCAGUGUCUGCUUUGAAAAUCAAAUUAUUCUUUCCCGGGACGGGGCAAAGCCCUCUGAUACUUAUGGAACUAACACAUACCAGGCACCAUGUCCAGGGCUUCACGCCUACCGACUUCCUUAAUCCUCACAGUAACUUAAGUACUGUUUUUAUCCCUCAUUUGCAGAUUAGAAAACUGUCUCGUAGAGAGGUUAAGUGACUUACCUAAGGUCACACAGCAGGCAAGUGAUGGGAAUGGCAUUUGAAACUAGGUGAGGAAUCAGACAUCACGAUUGUGUACAAACUGUGAUCCCUUUGGACAAAAAGAUUUAAUUAAAAAUGGAUUGAUACACAUGCAGGAUAAUAUAAUGUUAUUAUAUAUACUAAACCAAACUGAAAGGUUUGUGUCAGGGUUUGGAAAAUUCCAAAUAUUUCUAAAAGAGCCCCCCACACGGAUGUUCUCAAGCCGACGGAGGUGGGCGGUACAGAGAGAGACGCAGACCUAAAGACAUGUCCGCGCUGGGUGACGGCAGCAAGUGACCAAGGAAGGUGCAUACUCGAGCUCUCAGCCAGGGAGAGAAUUUUCCACGUGCGAGUCUCAUCUCUGAACUCUGCCAAGAGGAGAGUCUGGUGCAGAUGGCUGACACUCAGGAAGAGGAGAGGCCCAUAGUGUCGUUCCUCACAGUCAGCUUGGCUUCUCAAACCCCAAAAUAAACAUGAUGCUCCGAUAUCAGCAUUUUUACUACAAUAAUGGUGUGGGCAAGGGGAAGCGCUGGCCUUUCAAAACGCAUCUGCAUCUACCAGGGGACACAGACGUGUGAGGAGAUGCCAACAGUCCCCACCUGGGCAGGUGUUGGUCUGUGGUCCUCACUCCUGGGAAGGGCCUACUCUGCCAAAAAUUCCUUGGUAGGAAAUCUUGACAGGCAAGGCUUUAAAUAAUGCAAGUGGCUCCUUCCAAGGCUGGUACCAUCAGAACAUAACCAAUAUAUUUAAUCAUGAUCCGGGGGUCCCUGGUGACAGUUCUAGGACUGCCUGCAUUGAGAGCACCAGGAAAAGCCCACCUGGUCUUGGGAACCCCCCACCACCUGCGGAUCUCAGUGGUGGGUAGAUCCGUCCACGGACCCCUUCCUAAGCCCGGUGGCCACCACAGCCCACACCUCUGUGUCUUGACAUCAGCCAUUCCCCUUGCUCAGAACGUCUUUGUCCCUUGUCUACCUGGAGGACUCCUGCUCACGACCAAAGAUGCCAUCACCUCUGUCCCAGCCACGUCCCACUGCCAUGUCCGUGGGACUCGACGUCCCCACCCUCUGAGAGCUGGAUCUGUCCUCCUCCACCCACGCCUGGGAAGGCACUUGGCCCACAGGGUGGAUGCUCAGCACACCCCACCGGAUCAUUCCUCCCCUUACUUCCUCCUCUCCCUGGCACGUGUGCUCCUUGUGGGCAGGGACUGAGCGUGUCCAUUUCUGUGUCCCCGUGCCCGGGCUGGGCAGGUGGCACCUGUGUCAGCAUUGCUGAAUCACUGCAGCUCCACCUUCUGUACGCCUUGAUCCACACACCUCCCUUGGAGCGGGAUUCAGCCAGAAUCCCAGAAGUACACAGUGUUCCCAAUUCAGGGCUCCUGGACACUAGAGGACAGCAAAGAAAUUGAGUCUCUUGUAUUAUUGUCAACAUUUCAAUGUUUCCAAUAGAAAUAGUUUUAGUACCUAAAAUGAAGCCACAGAGGGUGCUCGAAACAUUCAAGCUCUCUAAUUUUUUUUUGAGACAGAGUCCUGCUCUGUUGUCCAGGCUGGAAUGUGC